rnacentral:lncRNA from 1 species
AAUAGUAAAAGGACUUAUGGCGGCGUAGGUAAAUCUAGUACUAGGAAGGUUCGUGUCACAUCUGUCACGCAUUCUCCUUAAGCCCCUUCACGUAUUUUUCCAACUACAUAUACCCUCCAAAUCUAUCCACAUCCUAUGUCAUUCUCAUUCUUACACAAUAAUUACACAAUUCUCACAACACAAAAAUUUCUUCUUCCUCAAUAAUAAUAUUAACCCAUUCGUUGCCCUUUCAUAACAUCAUUUCACACUCCCUCAAAACUAAACUCUGCUUAUUUUUUCACACUAAGUAGUAACAAUAGAAUGUGUGGCGGUGCUAUCAUCGCUGACUUCAUUCCUCGCNNNNNNNNNNCGCCGCUGAACUCUGGCCUAACUCAUUCGGUCAACAAAUUGACUCCACUUCCUCAGACUUUGAUUUUUCUCAUACUGUUGAUCAACAACCACCACCACCACCCACUACUCUCAAAAGAUCACACCCUCUCAAAGGUCAGUAGUUAGUUACUCUUUUAUGUUUUCAUACAUUUAUUUCAUAAAAUUAUACAUUUUUUCUGAUUGAGGCAUUUCAUCGAACAG